UAAUAUAGUGCCUGAUUUAAAAGGGUAGCUUUGAUAGAGCUAAUAAUGUAUUUUUAGAUACCUAUAUUAU
rnacentral:tRNA from 1 species